rnacentral:rRNA from 1 species
GAAACUGCCUGAUGGAGGGGGAUAACUACUGGAAACGGUAGCUAAUACCGCAUAACGUCGCAAGACCAAAGUGGGGGACCUUCGGGCCUCAUGCCAUCAGAUGUGCCCAGAUGGGAUUAGCUAGUAGGUGGGGUAACGGCUCACCUAGGCGACGAUCCCUAGCUGGUCUGAGAGGAUGACCAGCCACACUGGAACUGAGACACGGUCCAGACUCCUACGGGAGGCAGCAGUGGGGAAUAUUGCACAAUGGGCGCAAGCCUGAUGCAGCCAUGCCGCGUGUGUGAAGAAGGCCUUCGGGUUGUAAAGCACUUUCAGCGGGGAGGAAGGCGGUGAGGUUAAUAACCUCACCGAUUGACGUUACCCGCAGAAGAAGCACCGGCUAACUCCGUGCCAGCAGCCGCGG